CCUACGGGAGGCAGCAGUGGGGAAUAUUGCACAAUGGGCGAAAGCCUGAUGCAGCGACGCCGCGUGAGGGAUGACGGCCUUCGGGUUGUAAACCUCUUUCAGCAGGGAAGAAGCGAAAGUGACGGUACCUGCAGAAGAAGCGCCGGCUAACUACGUGCCAGCAGCCGCGGUAAUACGUAGGGCGCAAGCGUUGUCCGGAAUUAUUGGGCGUAAAGAGUUCGUAGGCGGCUUGUCACGUCGGAUGUGAAAGCCCGGGGCUUAACCCCGGGUCUGCAUUCGAUACGGGCUAGCUAGAGUGUGGUAGGGGAGAUCGGAAUUCCUGGUGUAGCGGUGAAAUGCGCAGAUAUCAGGAGGAACACCGGUGGCGAAGGCGGAUCUCUGGGCCAUUACUGACGCUGAGGAGCGAAAGCGUGGGGAGCGAACAGGAUUAGAUACCCUGGUAGUCCACGCCGUAAACGUUGGGAACUAGGUGUUGGCGACAUCCACGUCGUCGGUGCCGCNGCUACGCAUAACGUUACCCGUCCCGUCGGGUAGGUACGGCCGGCCGACGGACGUAAACCGUACGAAACGGAAAGUUAAGGUACGGUCGUUGAGUACGUUGCCGAACGGCGACGACGAGGGAGGAGG
rnacentral:rRNA from 1 species